rnacentral:misc_RNA from 1 species
CCUAGCAGGCCAAAACUCAAAGAAAAUCAAUAGAAACUCAAAGCAAAAACCCACAUCAGGAAUACAAACCAAAUUCAAGCAUCAAAAUCCCAGUCAAUCAAGAAAAGCAUAAACUUCAAUCCCUAAUUCACAAUCACAAGCAUAAACUCAAAACAUAAAAUCACCAAUUUCUGUUCAAAUCAAAGGAUACAAAUUGCAAUUAAAAUUCACAUGUUUCACAUAUUUUAGAUGUCCAAAAUUGCAAUUCUAUGCUAUCAAAGCAAAAACAAAAAUUUUAACCCAAAAUGAAUUCCCGACGCUAAAAAUCUCAACAAUCAAAAUCAAACAAGCAAAAGGCUGUGUCACAAUGAUUCAAGAAACUCAUUAGAUUGAAGCAAACAAUGGCAAACAAUAGAGGAGGAAGGGUUGGCGAUGGCAAACUAUAGAAAAGGAGAAGGCUUAGUUGGGUUGGCAAUGGUUGAUGAGCUCAUCGAUUGUUGGCUCCACAUUAGGAUUGACAAUGAUGUGAAUGGAGUUGCAGUGAGGGAGAUUAACAACAUGACAAACUGAGACUUUCAAGCUUCGAUUUGUACAAACUGGUACUAUUCAAUUUGCAUAAGCUGCUAUGCUAGGUUAGUGAGG